rnacentral:lncRNA from 1 species
CUGUUGUGUUUGCGGAUUGAUGAAAAUUUGGCGAGGGAGAUCAUAAACCAUCGCUCGCUGCAGCACAUCAAUUGUUGAAUUCGUUUGAAGGAGCUGUCAAUUGUUGAAUUCGCUUGAAGGAGGUGUGUUUGCUCUCUGUUCCCUUGAGUCAAUCACCAUGAUUUUACAUCGAGACGAUGUUUCUUCUUCAAAAGGGGAUGAUGAACAACAUGGGAACAAGGAGGAACUUUACCCGCCUGUUAUAGACUAAGCACUAAAAGCAUGCUUGCAUUCACUUUAGCUUGUUCAUUCUGUUAUAGGGCAGUGCUUUCGUUAUGCGUAUGAUGCUUUCAGUUUAUUGAAAGAUUUGUUCCAAGGAUAAAUUCUGAUCUUUUGAAACUAUGUUUUUUUAGUGAUAACCUUUAUAAGUUGGACUGUUUAUGGGCGCUGGAAGUCUUGUAAUAACCGUUGUUGUACAUACGUUUAUCAUCAUAAGAGAGAUAAUAUAUUCUUUUGAUCCUCACAAAUUUUUGCAGAUGGAGCUCGUUUGGCUGAAUUUGCUACUGAGCUGCCACAUUUUGAGGGCCUGCAAUUGAAGAAUACAACACUUGAGAUAACAAUUGAAGAAUACUAGAGUAAUAAUAACUACUGCAAGAUUGAUGUAUUUUCUUUUUGUUGGAGAUUUUCUGCAUCUUUUAUGGACGGUAACAUUUGAGAUAACAAUUUGAUGUGCUAACCAUCAAGAUCAACUUUGACAUGUUUGGUCUCUAAAAGUUACUAUUGACCAUCAUUAGUACAUCCUAUAAGGUAUAGUAAGUACUAUGAGUAACUUACCAGACGUUGACUGUAGAAGUUGCUAUCCAACUCU